rnacentral:rRNA from 1 species
GUUAAUCGGGGCAGGGUGAGUCGACCCCUAAGGCGAGGCCGAAAGGCGUAGUCGAUGGGAAACAGGUUAAUAUUCCUGUACUUGGUGUUACUGCGAAGGGGGGACGGAGAAGGCUAUGUUAGCCGGGCGACGGUUGUCCCGGUUUAAGCAUGUAGGCUGGUUGUCCAGGCAAAUCCGGAUAAUCAAGGCUGAGGUGUGAUGACGAGGCACUACGGUGCUGAAGUAACAAAUGCCCUGCUUCCAGGAAAAGCCUCUAAGCAUCAGGUAACAUCAAAUCGUACCCCAAACCG